AUCAUUGCUCAUCUCUAAUAUAAAAUUUAAAAAAGAAAACCAGUACCGCGAAGACAUAUAGGUUCAACGAUCUCAGGGUCAACCUGUUAGCUUUGGAAGCAGACCUGCCAGACCUGAAAACAGACCAGUUGCUUGGUGUGCUUGCUUGCAAAAGACGUUCAGUCAGUUAAAAACGAUUAGUCAGUUAAAGUUAAGAUUAGGUUAGAAGUCGUUGAAAGUUAAUAUCUAUAGUUUUGAACUAAAAUAUCAACAUGUUCAAUUGUACAUCUUGUGUUAAAUCUUUUAAUCGUAAAGAUAAUCUAUUACGCCAUAUGAGGACUGCCUGUAGCAAGUCAAGUUUUUUCAACCGAUGGUUUGGAAAGUCUGCUGAAAAAAGGAGAGAUUUUUGUAAAAAAAUCGGGAAUCGCAUGACAAAAUAUCGAUUUUCUGCAGAAUCGAUUUAAAUCGAACAUCCAUAGUCAAGAACCUACUAUAAAAGAACUUGCUUUUACCGCAGACUGCAACAAUAUUUCAAACGUGCAAGGUGUGUUUGACUUUGUUUCCAACUGUUUACAGGUAAAUAUUUUUUUUAAAAUGGAUCACAAAUUAAUUUAUUGCAAGUUGUUGCCUUCAAAAACUUUUCAAAUCCUCGUGUUAUUUUAAUCAUUAAACUAAAACAUUAAGAAAAUAUCUAAAACCAUAUUCAAAAUUAAAAACUUUAGGUUACGCGCUUCAAAAUGUUGUUGAAAAUAUUACUAUUAAUGAAGAAAAUGCUGCAGGAAUAGAACGUUUAAAACAAUGUUUCGAUACGUUAGUGGAUUCAUUUGAUUAAAUAUUUACAUUUUUUUU